GAUGAACGCUGGCGGCGUGCCUAAUACAUGCAAGUCGAGCGAACAGACGAGGAGCUUGCUCCUCUGCCGUUAGCGGCGGACGGGUGAGUAACACGUGGAUAACCUACCUAUAAGACUGGGAUAACUUCGGGAAACCGGAGCUAAUACCGGAUAAUAUAUUGAACCGCAUGGUUCAAUAGAGAAAGACGGUUUUGCUGCUACUUAUAGAUGGAUCCGCGCCGCAUUAGCUAGUUGGUAAGGUACCGGCUUACCAAGGCAACGAUGCGUAGCCGACCUGAGAGGGUGAUCGGCCACACAGGAACUGAGACACGGUCCAGACUCCGACGGGAGGCAGCAGGAGGGAAUCUUCCGCAAGGGGCGAAAGCCUGACGGAGCAACGCCGCGUGAGUGAUGAAGGUCUUCGGAUCGUAAAACUCUGUUAUUAGGGAAGAACAAAUGUGUAAGUAACUAUGCACGUCUUGACGGUACCUAAUCAGAAAGCCACGGCUAACUAC
rnacentral:rRNA from 1 species